rnacentral:rRNA from 1 species
CGUUAUUCGGAAUUAUUGGGCGUAAAGGGCGCGUAGGCGGCUUCGUAAGUCAAAGGUGAAAUCCCUCGGCUCAACUGAGGAACUGCCUUUGAAACUGUGAGCUUGAGGCCGGGAGGGGGUAGCGGAAUUCCCAGUGUAGCGGUGAAAUGCGUAGAUACUGGGAGGAACACCAGUGGCGAAGGCGGCUACCUGGACCGGUUCUGACGCUGAGGCGCGAAAGCGUGGGUAGCAAACAGG